rnacentral:rRNA from 1 species
UGGGGAAUAUUGCACAAUGGGCGCAAGCCUGACCGAGCAACGCCGCGUGAGUGAAGAAGGUUUUCGGAUCGUAAAACUCUGUUGUUAGAGAAGAACAAGGACGUUAGUAACUGAACGUCCCCUGACGGUAUCUAACCAGAAAGCCACGGCUAACUACGUGCCAGCAGCCGCGGUAAUACGUAGGUGGCAAGCGUUGUCCGGAUUUAUUGGGCGUAAAGCGAGCGCAGGCGGUUUCUUAAGUCUGAUGUGAAAGCCCCCGGCUCAACCGGGGAGGGUCAUUGGAAACUGGGAGACUUGAGUGCAGAAGAGGAGAGUGGAAUUCCAUGUGUAGCGGUGAAAUGCGUAGAUAUAUGGAGGAACACCAGUGGCGAAGGCGGCUCUCUGGUCUGUAACUGACGCUGAGGCUCGAAAGCGUGGGGAGCAAACAGG